UGCGUAACCACCACAAGUCAACAACGCUUGAGAGAGAGAAUGCUCAUGGAGCCAGAAGGGCUUCAGUACUCUCGAAUCGGAAACAGAGGUUCGCCGAUCACAUUCGACCUUCGCCGUCGGAGGCAAGCAUUUAUCAUGCAACCACAUUUGAUGCCGAUGGUCAGGAACUGGCAAUCAAAGUUUAUAAAACUUCUGUUGUGGUUUUGAAGUACGUCCAGGGGACCCUUUUUUGGCUUGAUAUUGAAUUUAACUUGCAGCUCAUGAGUCCCGAUAAUGAAUUUAGCUUGCUUGCUGUUCUAAACUAUAGUUAUGUACAUAGUGACUACUGUUGUAGAUAUGGAUAGUACUGUGGGAGUAAUUCCCAGUAGAAUGGAAACCAUGGGCCAAGAAAUAGAUGAGGUAAGUUUAUUGCAAGGGAAGUGACAUGUUAUUUCAUGACAAGUACCAAACAGAGCCUUCGUUAUAAGCCUACUGCCGUUGAGACUGCUGGUUGAAUUAGAAUAAAUGGUUUUUUUGUCCUUAAAUUACACGGAAAAUUGCAGUGUGGCUUUGGGCAUCUUGAGACCUGAA